GUUUCCUCGGCGGGCUUGCCUGCCGAAUGGACAAUUCUAUAACCUUUUUAAUCUUCAAUCAGCGUCUGACAAAAAGUAAUGAUUACAACUUUCAACAACGGAUCUCUUGGUUCUGGCAUCGAUGAAGAACGCAGCGAAAUGCGAUAAGUAGUGUGAAUUGCAGAAUUCAGUGAAUCAUCGAAUCUUUGAACGCACAUUGCGCCCCUUGGUAUUCCAUGGGGCAUGCCUGUUCGAGCGUCAUUUGUACCCUCAAGCAUUG
rnacentral:rRNA from 1 species